CUAAGUAUGAAUUAAGAAUUCUUUGAUGUCCAAGUGGAAUCCGAGGAGUGGUGGCAAUGGAGUGGUUGGAAGGGCCGCCUUCCUUAUUUCAAGGUAAAUUUCAUAAGGAGGUGUGAAGUGAGUUGAGAAAUACUUUAGUGCUAUUGUGUCCCGAAUGCCUAAGUAGCAUAAAAGUCAUGUGUCCUGGGCAUCUCAAAAGACAAAAGGACUUAGGUAGGUUAAGAAGUGAUUUGAGAGACAAGAUAUGUCUCCUUAGUCAAUUCUUGAUGAAUGACAUCAGACUAAUCACUUGGCAUUACACAAUAGAACAAGCUUUGAGUCAUGGCACAUUUCUUCUAGGGAAUGAGAGGCAAUGCUAUGUGUGUCAUGGAAAUUG
rnacentral:lncRNA from 1 species